rnacentral:rRNA from 1 species
GCGGUGGAGCAUGUGGUUUAAUUCGAUGGUACGCGAGGAACCUUACCUGGGUUUGACAUACAGGGGAUGUGGCAGCGAUGUCACAGACUGGAAACAGUACCUGUACAGGUGCUGCAUGGCUGUCGUCAGCUCGUGUCGUGAGAUGUUGGGUUAAGUCUCGCAACGAGCGCAACCCCUACGUUUAGUUGCUAACGCGUGAAGGCGAGCACUCUAGACGAACUGCCGUUGACAAAACGGAGGAAGGUGGGGAUGACGUCAAAUCAUCAUGCCCCUUAUGUUCUGGGCUACACACGUGCUACAAUGGCCGGUACAGACGGACGCAAAGCCGCGAGGUGGAGCAAAUCCUAAAAAGCCGGUCUCAGUUCGGAUUGCAGGCUGCAAUUCGCCUGCAUGAAGUCGGAAUCGCUAGUAAUCGCAGGUCAGCAUACUGCGGUGAAUACGUUCCCGGGCCUU